rnacentral:rRNA from 1 species
CCCUUAGAUGUUCUGGGCCGCACGCGCGCUACAAUGGUCUUCGCAAACGGAUGCAUUCUCGAAGGAGAAUGCCAAUCUUGGAAUCUAUGCCUUGGUCGGGACAGUUGCUUGCAAUUUUUCGACUCGAACCAGGAAUUCCUUGUAAUCGUGAUUCAUCACAUCACGAUGAAUACGUCCCUGCCCUUUGUACACACCGCCCGUCGCUCCUACCGAUCGAAGAGUUAGGUGAGUUGUUUUGAUCGAUAAGAUUUGACUAUGGUCAACUCUCGUUGUGAAAUUCUGUGAAUCUGACUGUUUAGAGGAAGGAAAAGUCGUAACA